GUGCCAGCCUCUCCGGUGAAGGAAAACCUUCCGACCCAGAGCUUCUGCCAUCCCAUCCUCACCCGCCGCUUUCAGAAGGGAAACCCCAGUUCAACAACUUUCCAGAAGCUCUAAAACUAAUUCGCAGCAGACGCAAAACUCAAGUCUCUUAAACCCCUCGUGGGCAGUGCUUUUCCUCAUAAUACUCGCAGGACUCCCAGCGGUCUACGGUGUACAGAGCGCGUGCAGUGACGUAUAAGCUCCAUUUUACUUUAAUAGUUAAAAGACAGAAACGAACAAGAGGCGUCAUUAAAGCUAAAUAAGAAUAUAGAAGGGUUUUUCCUCGCUUGGAAGUCCCCCUCCCUGAUGGAGGUCUCUGACUCUGAUAAAUCUCGCUUUUAAAUCUUAAUAUAUAUAUAUAUAAAAUCGUAUAGAAAGGUUAAAUAUAAAUCCUAUGUUCAGUCUCAGAACUGUUCUUACAAGAAUCUUCUUCUUGGGGAAAUGCCACACCUUCUUGACAUUCUUAAAAAAAAAAAAAAAAAAAAAAAAAAAAAACAGCAGGCGGCUGUGCUCUCUGUGGUGUCCAGGUUCUUGGAUAAAAAGCAGGACAGAAUGUACAUUAAAAGCAAUUGAAGAUGCAGCUCAUCUUGUUCUAUUCAAACAUAAAGAAGUUGCCAAAUUUCACUUCCUACUGAUUAAAACCACAAGUUGCUUUUUCCAUUAUAAUUCAGAGUAUUGUCCAGACAUAUAAUUUGAAUAGGAAAAGACUAGAGUCUCUGCAAAUACCUUUCUUUAAAAUUAAAGCAAUUAAUGGCUAAGGGUGUCCAGAUUCAUUGAAUAUACCUAGCAAUGAGUCUCCCUUUUUCUCGGUCUUUUCCAUUUACUAAUUGUGGGUCUGUCCCCAGAGAUACUUUUUCAUUUAGGAUAAAUGGCAAGGUAAUAUAUUAUUCAAGAGCUGGUACUAGAAUUCAGGAAUACCCUUUGAGACAGAUCAAUCUUUUUAAAAAGAAAUAAAUAAGGGAGCCAGUCUUGAAAAUGAUCCCCAGUAAUCCCUACCUCCUGGUAUUCUCACCUUUAUGUUGUCUCUCCCAUACUGGAUUGGGCUAGCCUGUGUAACUAAUAGAAAUUACACGGUGUGGAUAUGAAGGCUACUCCAUGGAAGACUUUGUAGCUCGAGCCUUAUGCUCUCUUGGAUUACUUACUUAGAGGGAAACCCACUGCCAUAUCAUGAGGACACUAAAGCAGCCCCAUGAAGAGGUGUCCUGGCAAGGAACAGAGGCCUCACACCAAUAAUCUGCACCAGCUUGGAAAUGGAUUUUCCAUCCCCAGUCAGGACCACCUACCAUCUUGGCCGCCAACUAGUGAGACAUUCCAAGCCAGAGAUGCCCAGUUAAGCCACUCCCAAACCCAUACCCAGAGAAACUGGGAUGGCCGCAACGGCCGGAGCUGCACCCAUCCGAAGCCAGGAGCCAGGAGCUUCUUCUGGGUCUCUCAUGCGGAUGCACGGGCCUAAGCACUUGGGCCAUCUUCCACUGCUUUCCCAGGCCAUAGCAGGAUCAGAAGAGGAGCAGAUGGAAUACAAACUAGCAUCCAAAUGGGAUGCCAGUGCCACAGGUGGGGCUUAGCCCACUACGCCACAGUGCCAGCCUCGCGUACUUUUUUCAUGAUACACAUUUCUCAUAAAAGUCCUAAUGAAGCCAUCUUGCGUGCAUAGAUUUCAAAAGUUAAGGACCAAAAUGAACUAUGUUUUAAUUCCAUUUUCCAGGAAGUUUUUUUUUUUAAAGGUUUAUUUGAAAGACAGAGUGACAGAAAGGGAAGGAGACAGAGAUCUUGCAUCUAUCUGCUGGUUCAUUCCCUACAUGUCUGCAACAGCCAAGUCUGGACCAGGCUGACGCCAGGAGCCAGGAGCUCCAUCCCAGUCUCCCACAUAUGUGGCAUCUGCUGCCUUCUCAGGUGAAUUAGCAGGGAACAAGAGCAGAGGAAGAGCACCUGGGACUGGAAACAGCGCACUAAUAGCUGAUGUUUGAGUUGCAGGCAGCAGCUUAACCUGCUGCUCCACAACACUAGCCCUUCCAUGGACUUUUUCAAGUACCCUCACACAACUUUUGAAUUUUCUUCAACUCUUACCAGAAACAUAGCAAGGGUCAUUGUAAAGAAAAGAAGUUGGGGGAGGGGAGAGAUCCCCCAGUAUAGACUUUAGAAGAGAGAGGAGAGAAUAAUCCUAGUAAAUCUACCUUGAAAGUGGUAAUAACAGUACAGAACCAGAAAGAUGGGCUUUUUAGGUUCCUGCGCCAGUGCAUCUGACACACAGCAUUUAAAUAGCAGCCCCGCCUAUUCUUAGCACUGUAUCCCUUGUCUAUUGGUACCUUAAAUUUGCUCUAAGUCAGAGGUGCCAGUAUAUAAGGGACCAUCUAGACCCACUUGGGGAUUCUUGUUCUAUACUUUUGCAGAAAGGCACUAUCUUUGUUCUCCUUUUUGCAGUAAACUGUAACUUUAUUUCUCUUGCUCAUGUAUAUUUUCUUUUUUUAAAAAAAAUCUUUUUUAAAAAGAUUUUAUUUAUUUAUUUGAAAGUCAGAGUUACACAGAGAGAGAAGGAGAGGCAGAGAGAGAGAGGUCUUCCAUCCGCUGGUUCACUCCCCAAGUGACCACAACAGCUGGAGCUGUGCCGAUCCGAAGCCAGGAGCCAGGAAGUUCUGGGUCUCCCAUGCACAGGGGCCCAAGGGCUUGGGCCAUCUUCUACUGCUGUCCCAGGCCAUACCAGAGAGCUGGAUCGGAAGUAGAGCAGCUGGGACUCGAACCGGCGCCCACAUGGGAUGUCAGCACUGCAUCAACAGCACCAGCCCCACUUAUGUAUUUUUUCAAGAUAUCCAUUGUUGGGAAAGUAAAAGCAACAGGAAUAAUAAAGAGUGUUAAACCUUUAAUUUGGGGUGGGUGGUUAGCCUUCUGGAAUGCCUGGGUUCCAUAUCUGGCUUUGCUCCUGAAUCCAGCUUCCUGUUAAUGCACUCUGGGAGGCAGCAGUGAUGGCUCAAGAGGUUGAGUGCCUAUCACACAUAGGAGACCUGGACUGAGUUCCUGUAGAUGGGGUAUAUCUCCCUCUCUUCUCUCUCUGCCUCUCAAAGGAACACAUCAUAGAGAAAGUAAUACUUGAAUUCACUAUUAAAUUUUCUUAGAACUUUCAAUUUGCCUUCAUAAUAUUAAUCAUUUGUAUAUUCUUGCUUUUUCAUUUCUGUACCAAUUAUUUAAUUUUAUGUUAGAAUUUGGGGAUUCCUUUAAGAAAUGGCUAUAAAUCCUCAAUGAUUUGUGUCUUCCUUGCUAACAAGUAUAAUAAAAUUUUAAAUUCCA